GGAGCUAAUCCCUUAAAGCUACUCUCAGUUCGGAUUGUAGGCUGAAACUCGCCUACAUGAAGCUGGAGUUACUAGUAAUCGCAGAUCAGAAUGCUGCGGUGAAUGCGUUCCCGGGUCUUGUACACACCGCCCGUCACACCACGGGAGUUGGAGACGCCCGAAGCCGAUUAUCUAACCGUUUGGAAGAAGUCGUCGAAGGUGGAAUCAAUAACUGGGGUGAAGUCGUAACAAGGUAGCCGUAUCGGAAGGUGCGGCUGGAUCACCUCCUUUCUAAGGA
rnacentral:rRNA from 1 species